UACGGGGGGAGCAAGCGUUGUUCGGAUUUACUGGGCGUAAAGGGCGCGUAGGCGGCCACCGCAAGUCGAUUGUGAAAUCUCCGGGCUUAACCCGGAAAGGUCAACCGAUACUGCGGGGCUAGAGUGCAGAAGGGGCAACUGGGAAUUCUCGGUGUAGCGGUGAAAUGCGUAGAUAUCGAGAGGAACACCUGCGGCGAAGGCGGGUGCUGGGCUGACACUGACGCUGAAGUGCGAAAGCUAGGGGAGCGAACGGG
rnacentral:rRNA from 1 species